ensembl:snoRNA SNORD83 Small nucleolar RNA SNORD83
GCCACAGGAUGACCUCAUAGAUAUGCAUUAGCGCUCUGCGCAGAGAUGACCCACUAUCUAUCACCCAAGUCUGAUGGCU